rnacentral:rRNA from 1 species
AGUGAACGCUGGCGGUAGGCCUAACACAUGCAAGUCGAACGGCAGCACAGUGAGAGCUUGCUCUUACGGGUGGCGAGUGGCGGACGGGUGAGGAAUACAUCGGAAUCUACUUUUUCGUGGGGGAUAACGUAGGGAAACUUACGCUAAUACCGCAUACGACCUACGGGUGAAAGCAGGGGAUCUUCGGACCUUGCGCGAUUGAAUGAGCCGAUGUCGGAUUAGCUAGUUGGCGGGGUAAAGGCCCACCAAGGCGACGAUCCGUAGCUGGUCUGAGAGGAUGAUCAGCCACACUGGAACUGAGACACGGUCCAGACUCCUACGGGAGGCAGCAGUGGGGAAUAUUGGACAAUGGGCGCAAGCCUGAUCCAGCCAUACCGCGUGGGUGAAGAAGGCCUUCGGGUUGUAAAGCCCUUUUGUUGGGAAAGAAAAGCAGCAGGUUAAUACCCCGCUGUUCUGACGGUACCCAAAGAAUAAGCACCGGCUAACUUCG